UCGAGUUAGUGGGGCGGGGACUUGGAUAUGGGUAUGGAAUUUGGCCCCAGGGCUCGAAUCGGAUGUAUGCGACUGAUCGGGUUGGGGCAGGUUAUAGGACGAGGACUGGUUUGCAAGGAUGGGCAAGCUGUGGGGCCGCUGGGCUUGUACAAGUGGAGGGAUCGGGUUGGAAUAACUUUGGAAGGUGCCUGAGAGAGGGCAGGGCUAGAGAGAGUGUGAAAAGGGGUUCCUAGAUGCAUUUGUCAUUUGAGAUGGGGGUGUGGGGUUAAAAAGCGUAAAGGAACUUCACUUUCCUGGAUAUGAGUUUGAUCAGCAAACUAAGAAUGAAAGGGACAUGUGAGACUGAAGAAGGAAGAAAAAUGACACUAAAAAGCGAAAAAGAAAAUUCUCUAGGAAAACAAGGAAACCACUGGUGACUUCUUUGGGGAGGGCAGUGUCAGCGAAAGGAGAGUUUUUGUUAAAAAUUGAAUUUUAUGUUUGGAUAUUUUUCCUCUUCUAUUUUAAGAGGAUGAGAGGCUAGAGGGAGUGGGAGAGGCGUUAGCAUUGUUAUUCAGUUCUAAAGGAGGGAACAAAAGUAUACAUUGAUUAAAGGAAUAUACUCUUCAACUAGGUACAGGAAGUUUCAGAAGACGGUUAGGUGCAUGGAGAAAUUAUUGUGUACAGGUAGGGGCGAGCCUGGAUGUGGCCUGGGAUUGGCUGUGGAGUGUGACUCAGCGCGCACUGGCUGUGGGGUCCCCCGCGAUUGGUGAUCAUACUACAUCUCACCUUUAGGAGGGAGGAAAAGUGCAGGGCUAAAGCUGUAAUCGGCAAAGAAGCAACAAUCAUAUUAGCUGGGGGAGGAGGAAAGGUGUAGGGCUAAAGCUGUAAUCGGCAAAGAAGCAACAAUCAUAUUAGCUGGGGGAGGAGGAUAGUUUGGUAUUUUUGUAGUUUGCACAGUGACCUUUUUAAAAAUCUGGUUAGGCAAAAAUAGUGUGAUCUUGUUUGUUGUCUCACUUCAUUAUGAUCACAGAAUGACCUGGUAUGAUGUUAGUGUUUUAUGAGAGUGUUAUGUUUUAACAGGGGAACACCGCAGUCAAUUCCUAACAACACUAAAGUGUCAGUUCUGUUCGUGACACCAAGGGCUGUUUUUCUUUUUCUCAUAUAAUGUUGAGGCAACUGGGAAGAAUGAGGUAGAGAAAACAUGUGUCUUAAACCUUACAUUCUGGUAGGGAGAGACAAGCAAUAGACAAGUCUAAGAUGCCUGCAGCCCUCUUGGACCACCAUAUGGAAUCUACAAGUUCAAGAUGAUCUAGUGCAAUAGAAUGAGAGACAAGGAUCCUGAGCCCUGACAUCAUGGAGCCACCACUCCAGCUCUGGACCAAUUAUCUAUAUUUGCAGAUAAAUAAAUCAACUUCAAUUUUGUUUAA